rnacentral:rRNA from 1 species
GACGAACGCUGGCGGCGUGCUUAACACAUGCAAGUCGAACGGUGAAGGGAUCAGCUUGCUGGUUCUGGAUGAGUGGCGAACGGGUGAGUAACACGUGAGUAACCUGCCCCCUUCUUCUGGAUAACCGCAUGAAAGUGUGGCUAAUACGGGAUAUUCUGGGUCUGUCGCAUGAUGGGUCUGGGAAAGAUAUUGUUUCGGUGGGGGAUGGGCUCGCGGCCUAUCAGCUUGUUGGUGGGGUGAUGGCCUACCAAGGCGGUGACGGGUAGCCGGCCUGAGAGGGUGGACGGUCACACUGGGACUGAGACACGGCCCAGACUCCUACGGGAGGCAGCAGUGGGGAAUAUUGCACAAUGGGCGCAAGCCUGAUGCAGCGACGCCGCGUGAGGGAUGGAGGCCUUCGGGUUGUAAACCUCUUUCGCCAGUGAAGCAGGCCUGCUCCGUGUGGGUGGGUUGACGGUAGCUGGAUAAGAAGCGCCGGCUAACUACGUG